rnacentral:lncRNA from 1 species
CGGGCCGGGGGGGGGGGGGGUCCCCGCGCGAGCCGGGGACAGUCCUUACCUCGAUGGGGCUGACGGGAGUGGAAGGCAGGGGCUGCAGGUACUCGGGGUGCAAAAUGUGGCCAGUCCGUGCCGUCAGCAUCUUCAGCACCUUGAUGGGCAGGCGGUUAGCCUGGCGGAGAGGGUCAGAGGGGGGCACAGCGUGCACAAAAGGCUUGGUGCUGCCGGCCGGGGACGAGCCUUGGCCGGGGCCGGAGCUAUUUCCAGAGAGCGCGCUGGUCCAGGCAGGGUCCGCGCCGCCGCCGCCGCCGCCGCCGCCGCUGUGCUUACUGCUUCUUAGGGCAGAAAGCGAGGGCGCUGUGCUCAUGACCCACCCGCACGCAUGGGAGCAGCGGGGGGAGGGCUCCGGGAGGCGCGGGGCGGGCUNNNNNNNNNNNNNNNNNNNNNNNNNNNNNNNNNNNNNNNNNNNNNNNNNNNNNNNNNNNNNNNNNNNNNNNNNNNNNNNNNNNNNNNNNNNNNNNNNNNNNNNNGUCCGCCUCGGGCUGCGCCCCUGCGCUGCGCGCUGGCGACCCGGCGCUGGCGCUGCGCUGGGCGAUGUGAGCCGCUGCCUGUCCAGCCGGGGCUCUGGCGAGGAAACUCACUUCAAAAGCAGCUGCACCGAGGGGGAGAUUAAAGCCUUUGCCGCCUUCCAAUCAAAUGGGAGCCCGAGAAUCGACGGGAUUUCUCUGCGGUUUGCGCCUCCAGGAUCCGAAUAAAUGCAGCUCGCAGGCAUCCGGCAGGAAACGGCUCCCGGUUCGAGUGUAUGCAGACGCAUCGGCCCAGCGCGGGACGCGAGGUGGCUCCUUGGUGAUCUUGCGGCUGCAGGUCCGGCCUCCAAAGGAGACUGGGCUGUGAGCGCCCUCAGGCCGGGGGCGGCCCCUUGCUGCCCCGCGGUGCCCGGCAGCCCCCAUCCCUGGGGGGCGGGGGUGCCUCGGGAACCCGCCGGGCGGAGUCCGCCCUCGGCGAAAACUGAAAGCAAAUGCCGAGGCAAAAGAAGCCCGAACUUUCUUCGACGCAACUUUGCCACAACGAUCCGGUGGCGACUUAGGCAGGACCGCGCGCUGGUGCGCGCGCGCGCGCAAGGUGGGGGCGCCGGCUGAAGGAGGCUUGGGGCGGCCGAGCCUGGCCCGAGGCGAAACCCUAGGGAAGGCGCCUCCCCUUCCUUAUUUCUCGCCAACCCCUCGGCCUCCGUCGGUAAAAAAUAGUUUCCAGUGGGUAGCGGACGCCCAGCAUGUGUUGGUGGGGAUCGCACCAGGGAGAAGGAAGCUUUGUAAAAGUUGCAGAAAGAGCUCUGCCCAGAAGCGUCCGCCCAGCAGGGCUCGCAGGGAAGGUCGGGGGACCAGCUCGCCUUCCCCGGGGCGGGAUGCCUAGCAAUCGGCUUGGGGAACCCCCGGCCCAGUCCUCUCCGCUCACCUCGAACCCCCGCGUGAAUAACCCCCGGCGGGCUGCGCUGGAAACUUAGAGGCGCGGCGCCGCGGUUGGCGGGCGAGGCCGGGACGCUGAGCCGGCCCGCAAGGCCGCUUCUGGGCGCGCUCGGCCCCGGCCCUAAGACAGGCUUGCACGGGGGUGAGAGGACGAAGGUGGUUUCAGCUCCCGCUCGGCUGCCUAGACCGUCACCGCCGACCUCCCAGCUCCCCGGAGCGGGCGCUUCCCCCCUGGGAGCCGCGGCCUUGGGGGGGCGGCGAGGGCGCAAAGUGCGCGCGCGGGCCGGCGCGGGGGUGGGGGGCGGCUGCCGGUCUCUCCGCGGGGCCUGUCGCCGGGCUGGCCGCGGCGGGUGAGUGAUGAGGGCAGAGAAGGGCGCCCAUAAAUCGCGGGUGUCAGGGCGAAAAACUCUCUUUAUUGUCUGCGUGAUGGAUGGGCCCGGGGACGAGACACCAAAUACUUCGUAUCGCCUUUAAAUGGGAACACAUUUUCCGCGGCCAUAAUUCAUGUUUUUUAAAUAGAAAGUUUGAAAUGUUGCCUAUAUUUCACCGGCCCUGACAUAUUUAUGAAUCGCUCCCUGCAUGCAAAUAUCAUUAUUUAAAGCGCCGGGGAGAGCUGGGGGGGGGGAGGGGAGGAGACACGGCCCCCGUGGCGUGGAGGUGGUGAACCGGGGAAAUGCGAGUGGAGAGGGGGGUGCAUCUCCCUAAAGUGCGGACAAUGAGGCGCAGGGGAAAGCCUUAUCCGGAAGCCGAGCGCACCGGGGGCUCCCCUCCCGCGGCUGGAUCCAGCGCUGCGGCUCCGGGAAGUUUGAGCGGCUCGGGACCGAGGACCCGCCCCUGCCCCCUGCGGGAAGACCCCGGAGGGGGGGGCCUUUUGCGUCCCUCUCCGAGGCCCUGAUCCGAGCCAAAGCCACCUUUUCCAAGGAGAAAAUGUUUCUUGUUUUUUUUUUUUUUAAUAAAAGAAUUUAACAAACGCA